AUUUUUUUUCCUGGUUCCUGACGGACAAACCAAUUUGUCAGAUGUCCUUAUAUACAUAUAUGACCUCAAACAUGUCUGAUCCUUAAUUACUACAAUUAGCCUGAAUAAUUUGUAAGCUAGAUUUAUGCCUAUUUUGUUCACAUCUUCGUGGCACACCACAAUGACUUCCGUCAUCUCAAGUGUUAAUAUUUUUUUAGUGUAACAAUUUAUGAUUUGCAAAAAUAACUGUUGCAUCUGUGUAGAUUACAUGAGCAAAGUGUGUGCGCGUUGUGCACGCUAUACAUUAUGGUCAAGCAUGCGCCCUUAAAAUAGCAUAAUGAACAACGCGCAACGCGCCACUGACUUUAGACUAGGUUUUUUCUGGUCAGUGGCGCAAUUGUUUAAUGGAACAGCAAAAUAGCACCAGGGAUUGUUUGCGCCGGAACACGCCUCCUUUUUUGCGCUGAACCGCCCAGGGAGCGCAAGUUCAUUCACUAGUUUAGCGACGUGCUUCUGUGGAGGGAAAAGCGCGCUUUGCGCAGGUGCAGAAUAGGAAUGACACAUGCGUCGGUGUACAAAGUCAAUUGCGCUGGGUGCAAGAUAGGGCCCAAGAUGUUUAUUCGUGAAAAUAUUUGUCAGUUAGCAAAUGUUUUUUUUUGUUAUUAUUGACUAGACAAACCAUUGUGGUUUCAAUCAAUAAACGCAUUUCUGCAGCCAAGCUCUGAUAGGCUGCCAGGAAGAUCCACGUCACUUACAGUAAACUCCAGCAUCUGUCUCCAGCACAUGUCUCAGAAGUACUGUGUUGAUUUAUUAAUCGCAAUCAUUUGAAAUUUGGUAUCAUAACAUUGAAACUUUUUAUCAAACAGGAUGGUUGCUGUUGAUUAGAAACAGGAAUGAAGAAAAAUAUUUGCAAUAUGUUUUAUAGAUUGUCAGUUGUUCAUUAUAGAAGCUACACGUGCACAACAAAAAGCUUCUCAACGGUGAAAUGUUUAGUUGUGAUACUGCACUGAAAAACUACUUAAGAUUUCCAUUUUUAAAAUAUAUUUGAUUGCUAUAUGAACUGGACAAUGCACUUAAAUAAACAUACCAAAUAUAAACAUGAUUAAUUAUAAACAGAGAGGAAAGAGGAUGGCACCUAAGCGAAGGGCAAAAUCCAGCACCAAAGUUGGAGGGAAGAAGAUUAAGGAGGAGCCUGAAGCUGUCCCGAAGGACAAGUUCACCUCUGCCAAAGAUGCUCUGAAGGCAACAGGUCCGCAGGUGAAGGAACCCAUCUUCUGUCAUCUAUCAAAUGCUGAGGUGAGACUGAACAAGUAAUUAAAUUGCAAAUUUAAUUAGUGAAUAAAUUAGUAAUGCAAAUGUACAAAGCAAUGCAAAUUAUUUCUCAAAUUACUGCUUGCCCUGAAUCACAAAAAAAGUUUUGAUCUAAACAUACGGGUUCACGAAAAAUUACGACUGUAUGUUGAACCAAACCAACAUUGGAAACAACAAUAACAAAUUCUAUGUAAUCCAAAUCUUAGUGUCUGAAGGAAAGUACUAUUGUUGGACAAGAUGAGGCUGAGUGAGAGAGUUGGGCAAGUACAAUUUAGCUGGUCCAUCUACCGCUGAUGUGGCCAUCUAGAGUUUUGAAAAGAAAUUCAAAGAGAAGACAAAAAAUAAUUGUAGCGAUCGAGAAAACUUUGUCUCGCAUUCUGGGAAGUACACACUGAUUGAGGUAGAUGGCGACCAGGAUGCAGAAGUGAAGAUGGUGGAGAUGUUAAGGUGAAAAGUGAACAACAAGUUCUUCCUUGUACAGUGGAUGAGGCAACUCAAAGACUCAUUUCAAUUCAUCUUCAACAAUGACAUGUUCAAAGAAGCGAUGACCAGCAUGAACUUGGAUAUUAAGAAGAUGCCCUUGGGGAAACACAGCAAGCAACAGAUAGCCAAAGGCUUUGAGGCUUUGGAGGAGAUUGAAGCUGCAAUAAAGAAGGGGGAAUGGAACAAGUUAGAAGAACUCGCCAACAAAUUCUU